rnacentral:lncRNA from 1 species
GUGCUCUGGCCUUUCGAAGGCUCACAGAGCCCGGGGCACUGAGACAGAAGGAGUGCUGCAGUUCUGUGCUCGAACUCUGGCUGUUGUCGCAGGCCUGUCCAGACUUCCUUAAAUCUGGGCAAUCGAAAGAUCUUCCGUCGCUGUUCUUCUCCAGCGGCCCUGCAUCUGUGUACACCUGCGGGCUCACUCCAACUGCGAAACCCACAGAGUCGAGAGAGGUGUCGCUUUCUGUCUGGAUACUCAUUGCCAUGCUCUCCCUGGGAUCAGAGACUCAGGGAACGGUGAGGCCAGUGUGCCGGAUGAAUGAAGCGGGAGUGCGGGCCGAAGGAUGAAGAGCGGACACGGCGUGAGGUGAAGAAUGUGAUGUUGCAGAUGAAAUAUUUUCAGAAGCUUUUAUUCUUGUUGUUUGGGUGAGCGCCAACAUCUUUGUAGAAGAAAGCUCAUAUUUCCAGCACCGCUCCGAUUUGAAUGUAUCCCUUGGUUAUUAGUUAGUUUUGUGUAUUUUUUAAAU